rnacentral:rRNA from 1 species
GACGAACCGUGCGAACGUUAUUCGGAAUCACUGGGCUUAAAGCGCGUGUAGGCGGCAGACCAAGUCGGCGGUGAAAGCGCCCGGCUCAACUGGGCGAGGUCCGUGGAAACUGGUCAGCUGGAGGACGGUAGAGGCGAGUGGAAUUCCCGGUGUAGUGGUGAAAUGCGUAGAGAUCGGGAGGAACACCUGUGGCGAAGGCGGCUCGCUGGGCCGGUCCUGACGCUGAGACGCGAAGGCGUGGGGAGCGAACGGG